rnacentral:rRNA from 1 species
GAUGAACGCUGGCGGCGUGCCUAAUACAUGCAAGUCGAACGAGGUGCUUUUGUAGCAAUACGAGAGUAUCCUAGUGGCGAACGGGUGAGUAACGCGUUGGUGACCUACCCCAAAGUGUGGGAUAACAGUCCGAAAGGAUUGCUAAUACCGCAUGUGGUCUUCGGAUUUAGAAACUGAUGACUAAAGGAGCAAUUCGCUUUGGGAGGGACCUGCGUCCCAUCAGCUAGUUGGUGAGGUAAUGGCUCACCAAGGCGACGACGGGUAGGGGACCUGGGAGGGUGACCCCCCACAAUGGAACUGAAACACGGUCCAUACACCUACGGGUGGCAGCAGUAGGGAAUAUUGCUCAAUGGGCGAAAGCCUGAAGCAGCAACGCCGCGUGUGCGAUGAAGGCCUUCGGGUCGUAAAGCACUUUUCUGGGAGAUGAGAAAGGACAGUAUCCCAGGAAUAAGUCUCGGCUAACUACGUGCCAGCCGCCGCCGGUAACAC